rnacentral:lncRNA from 1 species
AUGCUCACCGAAGCGAUUAGGUCGCUUCCAUGCCAAAGUGUAGUGUGUUUCAUCGUUGAUGCAUAUAAUGCUAGUAAUUGUAAGGCUAAUGAAUGCAUAUGUAUGCUAAAUGGAUGGAUAAGUAGAUGCUAUAUGAAUGCAUAAUAGAAGUGCUAAUAGUAAAAGAAUGCAUGAGUUAAAAUGCUAAAGUUAAUGCAUAGAGUAUAUGUUGAGAGAAUGUAUGAGCUUAAUGCUAAAUGAAAGUAUAACAUAUGUGCUAGUAAGGAAUGCAUGUAAUGGUAGUCCAAUUUGUAAUUGAUGCAUGAAAUAUAUGCUAAUUAUGAAUGCAUGGUAAAGAUGCUAAUUUGAAUGCAUGAGGCAUGAUAUAGAUGUUAUAUAAAUGCAUAGUUAAGAUGCUAAUGAUGAAUGCAUAAGCGAUAUGCUAAUGAAUGUACAUGAUAUAUCCUAGUCAAGAAUGUAUGAGAUCAAUUGACACCAUUGGAGGAUAGAUGAUAUGCAUGUUCACAUACCGUAGCAUGAGCUAGAUACAUAUGAUUGGAAUAUGCUAGGUUCAUGAUAUGUGCAUAUUGACAUAGUGAGAAUAUACUAGAUGGUAUAUCAUGUUGACAUUGUAAAAGUAUGCUAGAUUCAUACGAAGACGAACUAAGAUCGAUGAACUUUAAUUAAAGUAAAGAACUCGACAAGUGUAGCAUGUAAACUAAGAAUCCUAAAUAUAAAUAACUAUGAUGAAGAGUGGCAUUGAAACCUAGUGUCAUUGAACAUAGGUGAUUCAUGAGUGGCAUGUCAAGUAUGAUUCCUAGGUAUGGACAAUUAGGAAAACAAGAGCACGAGUGGCAAUAAACCUAAUGUAUUAAACAUAGGUUAUGAAUAUAGUGACAUUGAACCUAGAGUCAAGCAAACCUAGGUUAUUAAUAUAGUGACAUUGAAUCUAGAGUCGAAUGAACCUAGGUAAUAAGUAACAUCUUACCUAGUGUUAAUGAACCUAGGUUAUGAACAUAGUAAUAUUGGACCUAAUGUAUUAAACAUAGAUUGAGUAAUGUCUUGGACCUAGAUAGGUCGAUACUAUAGGGUAAGACAAACCCUAGAGUUAUAAAAGUGGGUUCCGGAAUUCCUAGGAAUGAAGG